GUCCAGGGAUGGGAAUCGAACCCACAGUAUUCCGGGCAGAUGUCAUGUCCACUAGACUACCCUGGA